GGAUUGUGGCUCAGCGGUAGAGCGCUCGCCUAGUGUGUGCGGGACCCAGGUUCGAUUCUCAGCACCA
rnacentral:tRNA from 1 species